rnacentral:tRNA from 1 species
GAAGUUGUACCUGAUAAAAGGGUUAUUUUGAUAGAGUAGACAUAAGGGUUAAAAUCCCUUCAACUUCU